AAUGCGCCUAAUUCAAAACAGCCGAAUAAGCUGCUUUUUAUUUCUUGUCUUGGAUUUCGGAUCCAGAUUUGUACUGAAGAUUACACUUUUGCCCCUGUUAUUUUCAAAUCACCCCCAAAAUUGAUACAACUCCUCCUCAUUUGCAGGUGCUUUCAAAACAAUGGCACGCCAACCCUAGAUCUCCGAUUCGCCUCAUUCAACAGCGGAAAAAAUUGGUCCAGUGAAAUUCAAAGUUGUCGAAGUUUUGCUUUCCCCCGACGUCACAGGUUUACCGAGUGGCGCUGACGGCCAUUGUUCCCCUCUGAUUAGUUGUUGUUUCUCGACAUGUGAAAUAGAUCUCACUCGCAGCCGUUCAGGAAAGUUUACAAAGUGCUGGCCUCGAUCACAUCAUUGCUGCUACUUACUCAUCCCUUGGUACCCAGGUACAAAUUAUUUUUUAAAUUUCAUUACUUGUAUAAAAAUUGAUGCCACCGCGUUGAUUUCUCGGUUAUUAUCAUUUUCUUGCAUAUCAUAUAUGCACUUGUGAUGUCUAAUUGGGAUACUACAUGACCCCACUUUGGGUAGAUCUGAAAUUACAGUUUGUAUUCAGCCCACAAUCCACUGCCAACGAGUUUUUAUAUAUGGGUGGAAGAGUAUUUUGUUGUUGUGUUGAAAUUAUACAAUUUGCAUGUACUUUGUUUUUAUAUAAGGCCAGUUGCUUACUCGUUCGAUGUCGACGAGUCCUUUGUCCACCAAAUAUAUGCGACUAUGUUUGUUGCUCGAGGACAUUAUACUCCUCUAUCGUACAGAAACCACAGGAUUGUUACAUCGUUACAUCGGUGCCCGGCCUAGACAUGAAAGGCACCAAAUUGUUGAGGAUGCUCGGCGACACAGCGUUCUAACUGGAUCCCUACCCAACUGAAGUAUUUAGAUAGACUUUUGCACUUGAAAAAUUAUGCAUGUGUAUCCAAUCUACGCAUGGACCGUAACACGUUUGGUAGGUUGUGUCGUUUACUUUCUCAGAGGGGGGCCUGACCGUAGGAAAAUGCCUCGGUGUCGAGGAGCAGACCGCUAUAUUUUUGUCUGCAUUGGCACACCAUAAAAAGAAUCGAGUUGUUGGGACUACUUUUUGGCGUUCGGGUGGAACUGUAUCGUAUUAUGUCCACAAGGUUCUUGCUGCUGUACUUAGCCUGUAUUCUGUACUUCUUUCAAGCCAGUACCUGUUCCAGAAGAUUGCACCGACAAUCGCUGGAAGUGGUUUAAGGGCUGUCUCACUGCCCUUGACGGCACCCAUAUUAAUGUCUUAGUCCGCAACGGUGACAAACCACGGUAUAGAACAAGGAAGGGUCAAAUAGCAACUAAUGUUCUUGCUGUGUGUGAUCGUCAAAUGCAGUUUGUGUACUUGCUCCCAGGUUGGGAAGGCUCCGCAGACGACUCUCGUGUUCUGAGGGAUGCAGUUUCACAUCCCGGUGGGCUUAAAGUACCUCAAGGUUGCUAUUACCUUUGCGAUAAUGCUUACGCGAAUUGCAAUGGAUUCCUAACGCCAUAUAAGGGAGUACGCUAUCAUCUGAAAGAGUGGGGUCCCGGCACUGAGACUCCCCAAAACACGAAGGAAAUAUUCAACAGGCGGCAUACCAAGGCACGAAAUGUGAUCGAACGUGCCUUUGGAGUCUUAAAAAUUCGGUGGGGAAUUAUAAGGAGCGCUUCCUUUAUCCUUUACCGACACAAAUCUGCCUAAUCAUGGCUUGUUUUUUGUUCCACAAUUUCAUCCGACGUGAAAUGGAGGUGGAUCCGGUAGAACUUGAACUAGACACAAACAACGUUGCCGCGAACACAGAGGAAGACAACAUCGGCGGGGAGUAUGUUGAAUAUAUCGAGCCGUCUUCAGAAUGGACCCAGUUCCGAGAUAGUGUAGCACUCAGCAUGUGGAAUAACAGAUGAAUAACUUGUUUCAAAACAAGUGACUUGGAUGACUUGUUAAACUAUUUUUAAAUGAUCUAUUUGUAUCCCUAGGCACUAUAUAAUUUAGUGAUUAUGUCAUUUGCUGCUCUAUGAACCCCUACUCAUUAGCUUAAAUUAAUUAUUGAUGAUGAUCUAGAUAUAUGGUUCUAUCUGACUUUUUUACAGCACGAUGAAUCCCAAAGGAGAAACGCUGGAAUGUGUUUGCGGUUGAGGGAGGAUGGUACUUAGGUGUGCUGGGAAGUCAGCCCAGAAUGCUGGACGAUAUUACUUGAAGUGUUCAGUGAACGGGAAGCAUCCGGGGUCUUUUAAGUGGUAUGACGAGGUGGCCUCAGACACUAUGUUUCAAACCUGCAAUCUCCAGACUGAAAGAGGUAAACAAGCUCAAGAUGUACCUGGAACAGAUUCAAGGUCUGAGCCGAAAACCAGCGCCCUCAUUACUGGACUGGAAGUCUACACCAUACGCAUGUUGGAGUGGAAGACGAAUGUGUUGAUUUUGUUUACUGGACUGUUGUUAUUCAUGGUUGAGAUGUUGAUUGGGAAAAUUAUCUAAAAUGUGGUAGUUGUAUGAUCACAACCGAUGUGAUCAGUGUGUUGGAAUCUACAUAUAUAACUAUUUUGUAUGAACAUCAUUUGUGGUGCCUCAACUAUUUUGGUAUAUAAUAAUAUAGAAUAUAUAAUAUUAUUAUUUUAUAUU